rnacentral:rRNA from 1 species
UACGUAGGGGGCGAGCGUUGUCCGGAUUUAUUGGGCGUAAAGAGCGUGUAGGCGGCCAGGUAGGUCCGUUGUGAAAACUGGAGGCUUAACCUCCAGCGGUUGAUGGAAACCAUCUGGCUAGAGUCCGGAAGAGGAGAGUGGAAUUCCUGGUGUAGCGGUGAAAUGCGCAGAUAUCAGGAAGAACACCCGUGGCGAAGGCGGCUCUCUGGGACGGUACUGACGCUGAGACGCGAAAGCGUGGGGAGCGAACAGG